rnacentral:lncRNA from 1 species
AAAAAGGUUUGGAUGGCAGAAAAAGUGGUAUUGUUGGGGGGGACGUAGUCGAUAAGAGCAUCACAAGUGGAGGGCCAGAACUGCAUUUGAAGCUGGCCUGAGCUCUUGGCACAAUGAUGAUAACUGAGAGAAAGGAUAGGGCGAGAAGCAACGUAGCAGAAACAUGGCGGAGUAGUACAGUGAAUGGGGUUUGGAAUCCAGAACCAAUGAAGCUUGGUUGUUGAAACGAUAGAGCUCACUGUUGCUGCUGCUGAUGAUGAUCGUUUUGGAAGUCUUGAAAAGAGACUUGAGAUGUGUUUGGGAGAGUUUAUGGCUUGCAAGUAGUAGGAUAAGGCUUGUGGAGGUAAGUCGGUUAAUGCAUAAGUGGGUCUGGGUUUGGGCUGUCAAAAGGAGAGUAUGGCCAUGGCAGCAAGCAACAACAGGUGAAGGUGACAGAGAUAAAUCUUAGGUAGCUCAAAGAAUGGGUUGUUGCAGGGGGAUGGGAUGACCGGUUACAGCUACAAAAGGCUAGGGUUAUGGCUUGAUGUGAGGGGCUGCCAAGGACGACUUAUACAAUUGUGGUAAAGUGGUCUUGGGCAGCCAAAAGGUGGGCUGCAUCAUGGGGAUGGGACGGUUGGUGAAAGUAGCAGCAAGGGUGUUAUGGUUAUGUUUAAUAAUAAUAAAUAAAUAACUAAAAAUAAAAAGGAAAAGUUAGGGAUAACCGGU